UGCCACUGCAAAGGGGUGCACAAGGUGUUCCAUCACUGCAAGAUGUUAGGGGAGAAAAGGAGUGGUGGGAGACGUUUGAUUGGGAUGAAGAUGAUGACAUCAAGGCCUAUUUCCAACCAUUUUUUAUAGAAGAAAGAGCACAAUGGGAUUCAUUUGGGGAAGCAAGGGAUUCAUUCGGGGAAGCAACCCAGUGAUUCAGUUAAUUUUGCCCAAGUUCUUCCAACUAUUGUUGGCCUUGUUUCCAACAUUCAACUAGUCCUUCAUCAGCCUACUUUAUCAGCAUGCAUGUCUGCACUCCAACUUGCUAUAUGGAGAAGUCCUUACACUCUUACUCUUGCUAACAAAUAGCAAGUCCACAU